GACGAACGCUGGCGGCGUGCUUAACACAUGCAAGUCGAACGGAAAGGCCCUGCUUUUGUGGGGUGCUCGAGUGGCGAACGGGUGAGUAACACGUGAGUAACCUGCCCUUGACUUUGGGAUAACUUCAGGAAACUGGGGCUAAUACCGGAUAGGAGCUCCUGCUGCAUGGUGGGGGAUGGAAAGUUUCGGCGGUUGGGGAUGGACUCGCGGCUUAUCAGCUUGUUGGUGGGGUAGUGGCUUACCAAGGCUUUGACGGGUAGCCGGCCUGAGAGGGUGACCGGCCACAUUGGGACUGAGAUACGGCCCAGACUCCUACGGGAGGCAGCAGUGGGGAAUAUUGCACAAUGGGCGGGAGCCUGAUGCAGCAACGCCGCGUGCGGGAUGACGGCCUUCGGGUUGUAAACCGCUUUCGCCUGUGACGAAGCGUGAGUGACGGUAAUGGGUAAAGAAGCACCGGCUAACUACGUG
rnacentral:rRNA from 1 species